rnacentral:rRNA from 1 species
UACAGGGGGCUCGAGCGUUAGUCGGAAUCACUGGGCUUAAAGGGUGCGUAGGCGGCUCGCCAAGUGCUUUGUGAAAUCCCCGAGCUCAACUCGGGAACAGCAGGGCAAACUGGCGGGCUUGAAGCAGGUAGGGGCUGGAAGAACAGUAGGUGGAGCGGUGAAAUGCGUAGAUAUCUACUGGAAUGCCGAUGGGGAAGCCGUCCAGCUGGGCCUGUCUUGACGCUGAGGCACGAAAGCGUGGGGAGCAAACAGG